GGUAUAAAGGUUUCAACGCUGACAGGAGUGUUUACCUGUUUGCUAAGUGUCUUGUACCAGGUGCCCGGAUGCCUUAUGAUAUCACCUCCCUCGAUCCAUACAGCAUGCAGUGAGCUAAGAUGUGACCGAUGUCUGCAUCCUACAACGAAGAAGCAGACUCCCUACUUUGUGGACAGUUUCUCCUACAUGCCCAAGCUCAUAUGGCCAAUAAGGUGACAGGGGCGGAGUCUGACUUUCCAGACAGCCCUCCAGCCACCACGAAGCCAUGUCUCAUUCACUCCAGGAAACCAACAGUGCCUUCUAAGCUCUGAGCAGGGACCAAUGUCAGCCAGGUGAUUGUCCCAGUCUGGUGACACCAUUCCUCCACUCGGGUUUCCUGGAAACCUGAAGCAAGCUAAUCAGUAGGAAGUGUACCACAUCGUGCCACCAUCCAUAUUCGCUGUUAUCUCCCUUCCCUCUGCCCAGACUGGGUCCACAUCCAGCCUAGAGCUGGGCAGACUACUGGGUUUUGACACUUAAAGCUGAAUCUCAACUUUGGGUUGAGAGCCAGGACAUCCAUGUGGGUUUCCCGUAUGUCCUUGAAUAAUCCACUUAACCUUUCUGCCUCCUCCUCCCCCGUCACCUCAUACAUAAGGUAAAUUAAGGACAUUUGCUUUUCCUACAAAAUUGUUCUGAGAUUCAGAAAACUUGCCCGAUGUGGGUGAAUAUAGAACCCUCCCAACCGAUAGGGUGUAAUGAGAGGGGGUGACCAGUAGGUGGCACUGCUUCAAAGCGCCCGUGGGAGGUCCAAAGGAACUUUGAGCAUCCCUUCUCAACCACGUGUAGGGGACAUUAACUUUCCACACACUCCACACACCUGUAAAGGCAAAAAGGAAACUCGGAGAGACGUGUCCCUUCCAACGGCCCAGGACACCACAAUGGCAGAAUCAGGAUCAGACCAGGAGAUGCUGGUGCAAUAAGACCUGACAGGGAGAGAGUGAUGGCGCAAUAAGUCGUGCGGGAGCUGCGGUUGUCCCUGCUCACUGCCUUGAGCAAUGGCUGCCCCAUCUGGAUCGGAAGAGGCCACUGGACUCUCAGCAGGAGCAAGUCGGGGUGGGAGGGCCUUUCAUUUAGGCACAGAGCUCAGAACAGAUUUUCUGGAUUGGAGGCUGAGAAGAGGGCUGGGAACGGGAGGGGCAGACAAGUGGGCACUAGUUCUGCCCCUGAGCUCUUUGCUGUGCAUCUGUGGACAAUUCACCCUGACCUUUCUGGUCUUCAGUUUCUUCAUCUGCAAAAUGGAGCACCACCCAGGGUGGUUCUAAUUUGUAGGAAGAGGCAUAGAUGCUUGUCAGAUGGAAUUUCAAGGCAAUCGGUUGACAGCCAAAUGAGCACCUUGAAGGCUCGCGCUCUCUCUCUCUCUCUCUCUCUCUCUCUCUCUCUCUCUCUGGGCCCACUGUUGGGCGGGGGACGCCUAGGAGAAUGAGAGAACAAUCUUGGAUAAACAAGACAUGCAGAACUUCAGAACUUAGUAAAGUGAGAGCCGGCACGUUAAAUGGAAAACACAUUGGCCUGCUCAGCAAAACUGGGUUUUGGAAGGUGGACCCGUCAUGCAUGGGUCAGGUUGAGGGCUGUCACCUUUGCCUCUGGAUGUUUGCCCUGCCCCUGCACUGUUUUUACAACCAAGUGAUGGAACAUGCAUGAAACACACAUGAACACACACACACACACACACACACACGAAUAUAUACACACACACGUGACAGAAUAGUUUUAUUUUUAUUUUACCUAUAUUUGAAAUGUAUAUAAAUACAACCCUGCUGUGUGUA